rnacentral:rRNA from 1 species
ACGGAGGGUGCAAGCGUUAUCCGGAUUCACUGGGUUUAAAGGGAGCGUAGGUGGGUUGGUAAGUCAGUGGUGAAAUCCCCGAGCUUAACUUGGGAACUGCCAUUGAUACUAUCAAUCUUGAAUACUGUGGAGGUAAGCGGAAUAUAUCAUGUAGCGGUGAAAUGCUUAGAUAUGAUAUAGAACACCAAUAGCGAAGGCAGCUUACUACGCAGUUAUUGACACUGAGGCUCGAAAGCGUGGGGAUCAAACAGG